rnacentral:rRNA from 1 species
AGUGAACGCUGGCGGUAGGCCUAACACAUGCAAGUCGAACGGCAGCACAGUAAGAGCUUGCUCUUACGGGUGGCGAGUGGCGGACGGGUGCGGAAUACAUCCGAAUCUACUUUUUCGUGGGGGAUAACGUAGGGAAACUUACGCUAAUACCGCAUACUACCUACGGGUGAAAGCAGGGGAUCUUCGGACCUUGCGCGAUUGAAUGAGCCGAUGUCGGAGUAGCUAGUUGGCGGGGUAAAGGCCCACCAAGGCGCCGAUCCGUAGCUGGGCUGAGAGGAUGAGCAGCCACACGAGAACUGAGACACGGCCCAGACUCCUACGGGAGGCAGCAGUGGGGAAUUUGGGACAAAGGGCGAAAGCCUGAUCCAGCAAUGCCGCGUGCAGGAUGAAGGCCUUCGGGUUGUAAAACGCUUUUGUACGGAACGAAAAGGAUCUGGCUAAUACCUGGGGCACAUGACGGUACCGGAAGAAUAAGCACCGGCUAACUACGUG